rnacentral:rRNA from 1 species
AAUAGAUACCCCGGUAGUCCAUGCCGUAAACGUUGGGCACUAGGUGUGGGGUCCAUUCCACGGAUUCCGUGCCGCAGCAAACGCAUUAAGUGCCCCGCCUGGGGAGUACGGCCGCAAGGCUAAAACUCAAAGAAAUUGACGGGGGCCCGCACAAGCGGCGGAGCAUGCGGAUUAAUUCGAUGCAACGCGAAGAACCUUACCAAGGCUUGACAUACACCGGAAACGUGCAGAGAUGUGCGCCCCGCAAGGUCGGUGUACAGGUGGUGCAUGGUUGUCGUCAGCUCGUGUCGUGAGAUGUUGGGUUAAGUCCCGCAACGAGCGCAACCCUCGUCCCAUGUUGCCAGCGGGUCAUGCCGGGGACUCAUGGGAGACUGCCGGGGUCAACUCGGAGGAAGGUGGGGAUGACGUCAAAUCAUCAUGCCCCUUAUGUCUUGGGCUUCACGCAUGCUACAAUGGCCGGUACAAAGGGCUGCGAAACCGCGAGGUGGAGCGAAUCCCAAAAAGCCGGUCUCAGUUCGGAUUGGGGUCUGCAACUCCG